UACGAGGGGGGGCGAGCGUUGUUCGGAAUUAUUGGGCGUAAAGGGUGCGUAGGCGGUUUGGUAAGUCUUAUGUGAAAUCUACAGGCUCAACUUGUAGUCUGCAUGAGAAACUACCAGUCUUGAGUGGUGGAGAGGGAAGUGGAAUUCCUGGUGUAGAGGUGAAAUUCGUAGAUAUCAGGAGGAACACCAGUGGCGAAGGCGGCUUCCUGGACACCAACUGACGCUGAGACGCGAAAGCGUGGGGAGCAAACAGG
rnacentral:rRNA from 1 species